GGUGCCACGCAACAAGCACUGUGUGUGUUAGGAUGAAUUUCAAUGCUGCGAUUAUGAAUCUGUGGUUGAUGCGUCCUGGGAUCUCUUCUGGGUAUUUUUCUAGCCAGAAGGU